CCCGGGGCCGCCUCCCAUGCUGCCCUGCGCCAACCCCUCCCCUCACCUUUCCUCCCCCGCCCUCAACUCGCCGCCGGCCGGCCCCCCCACCCGUCUCUUCCCUUAUCAGCACCCGCGGCCCCGGCAGCGCCGACGCAGGCGCAUUGCACUGCGCCGCCGCCAUUUUGUGUCCGAGCCUGUGGAGCGAUUAAACCGUGCGCGGAGCUGCUUCUUUGGCGGCAGCGGCGACAGCAGUAGCCAGUGCAGGCACGCGGAGCUGGCCGGGGACGCCAGGUGGCCGGAGCGGUGGAGCGGCGGCGGAGCGGGCGCCGCGGGGGGUGUGGCGCGAAGGUAAGGGGGCCCGGGGUGGAGGAGGUUUCGCGGGCCGCCUCUAGGUGUCACGAUGGGGCCGCUCCGGUCGGCGCUGGCUGCAGCCCGGCGCCAGCGCCGCCGCCGGGGGGUGUUUGUCUCCCUCUACCGUCCCUGCUGCGGCGCGGCCGCCGCCAUUGCCCGGCGCCGCCGCCAGGGCCUGGCCAACCCCCUCCACGCCCGCCCGCUAGCUUCCCUCCUCCCAACAUGGUAGGCCUCUGGCGGCGGUGGCGACAGAGGCCUGCGCGCUCGGCGACUCCAUUUUCCUUCCUUUGUCUCUACCCUCGAGGCCGGCUUUUGGCCCGGCUGAUCUUUGGGCCACGGCCCGCCCUCUGCCCUCCGCCCCUCCCGCGACGGGUACCCCUAACGAGGCUGGACUUCUGAGGCACGGUUGACGCGCUUGCUUCGCCUAGGGGUUCUGGACCCUCUGCCGGCCGCUUAGCCAGGUCCCGGAACCGUGUGGGUGUCGGGUCCCGACCUACGCACCUCGGACUGCCCAUCUUCAAGUCCACCCGGUCCCGGAACCUACCCGGUCGCCCUGCGUGCUUUUUCCAGCAGUUGGGGUGCUCUCUAGUUUCUCGUAGCCCGAUCAUCGCCGCUGCCGGUCUCCGUCGCCGCCGAGUGUCGCAGGCGGCGCUGCUGUGGCUGGGAGCAGAGGGACCCCUGAGCUGCCGAGAGCUCCCUCUGCAAGGCUGGCUGAGCUGCUCGCGCCUCGACGCCGAGCGGGCGGGGGAACGCGCGCUCGCCGCCCCCGCCGGGCCCCGCUGCGCCCCCAAACUCACGCCAGGGCAGCGCACGGGACCCGGCCGGUGCGGCCCCCAAUGGUGCGCGGAAAAGACAAUUUCUACACCAAGUAAUUUUUCUCCAGCUGUGUUCGCACUCUUCAGCCCCUUGAAACGAUAGCAGUCAGACUUUGUGCGUUCAGAGAUCUCAAAGGGACUGAAACUUAAUUUCAUUCUCAAGUGAUGUGAUAAACUCAUAAAUUCGGGAGCAUGGACUGGUUGCGAUUGUACAGGCGACGCUGGAGUUUGCCUUUUAUUUAAAAUGUCCGUACGCUAACUUCAUACUCCUCUUAGGACCUGAUGCUCUAGGGCUAGGCUAAGACAGUUCAACCCCUCUAGGAUUGUGCAAACUGAUCUAAUGCGCCAGUAGGGUAGAAUGAAUUUACUCUUGACUACUAGACUGGUAAUUUGACUGUUCGAUGAAAUGUGAGGGUUGAUGUUGUAAUUGAAUCCUGGGUCACUUGCAGCAGAUGGUUUAUAAAUAUCUGUGCCUAAUGUAACUACUCUUUAGUAUCUGACUUCCUGUAUUGAGUUUAGCAUUAGGUAAACAUUAGCAAAGAGGCUUACUACUUUGGAGUUUAGAAAGCUAAAAUUCCAAGGCCUCCGUAGACAGGAAAAGAAAUUAAACAGGGUAUUUAUCCUGGCUUUAAGUCUUUUGCAUUUAAAAGCUUCCUUUGAUAAAUUGCUGGAGUAACCUUUUCAUGCCCACUCAUUUUAUGACCAAUUAGCCACUGAUGUGUGACUUAGGUUCUUGAGAAAAGAAAGUCUAGGUUGACACUUUUCAGAAAGAAAAGAUAAUGAGGCACUUUAACACAAUACACACACACACACACACACACACACACACACACACACACUUCCUCUGUGUAGCUCUGGCUAUUUUGGAACUCUGUAGACUACGAUGGCCUCGAACUCAGAUUCACCUGCUUCUGUCUUCUUUCUCGUGCUGUGGUUAAAGAUGUACUCCAACGAUUUGCUUCAAUCUUCUUGAUUGAAAGAUUGUGUUGUUCACUGUGUGAUUUCAGUUUGUAGAUCCUGGCAACCCACAUUGUAUGUCAUUCUUUCAACACUCCCCAGCCUUGAUGCCCUCCCUCAAAUGAACCUAGGAUUCUCUGGCUAGUUAGGCCACACUAGCCACAUUGAAAUCCUAUGAAACUUUGUUUUUGUGAUGAUUGUGCAGUCUAUGCAAGUGUGCUGCCUUUGAGCUAUAUUCCUAGUCAUUCAGCAGCACCUCAGUCCUUUUUUAAUUCUCCAGAAUGUUCUUCCUCACCCUCCCUCACAAUAAAAUUGUGCUAAAUGUAGUAAUCUAGUUAGAGUGCCAGCCUUAAUAGAACUAUUUUUUUUAAAUAUAUUAGGCUAAACUAUGACAUUUAUUACAUUCUUUAGAGUUUUAAUGUCAAGUUUGUGUUUCAGAAGUGCCAUAUUUUGUUUAUUAAAAGAAGCUGCACAAGUUCCCAGUGGUAGCGAAUACCGUACUUCAGAAGUAGAAGCAGGAAUAUGGGAAUUAAGUGUGGUUGGGAUUUGUUUUUGUAGUAUUGGGUUUGAACUCAGGGCCCUGGGUAAGCUAGGCAAGUGCUGUCUACCUCUGAGCUAUUUCCUUAGCCCCUUUCUAGUUUUGAGGUAAAGUCUCAUUAAGUUGUCUAGGUUGGCCUUGAAGUUACUAUGUAACCUCCCAUUUUCUUUUUUUUCUUUCUUUCUUUUUUUUUUUUUUUUUUGGUUCUUUUUUUCGGAGCUGGGUACCGAACCCAGGGCCUUGUGUUUCCUAGGCAAGCGCUCUACCACUGAGCUAAAUCCCCAACCCCUAGCCUCCCAUUUUCAAUCCUAAUUCCCAAAUACCUGGGAUUACAAGUUUAAUCCAAACACAUUUAAAGUUAGGACUGGUCAGGAGUGAGUGGCUAAAUUUAGUCUCCAAUAUUACUGGAACAAAUAGCAAAUAUUAGCAAAGUACAAUGAUUCCUUUGGAAGUGUCAUGAAAUCUAUUAUUUUGUUAUGAUUUUUUAAGUGGGAAGGAAACAACUAAAUAUAUAAGAAAAAUAAAUUGGGGUGAAUUGGUUGAUAUAGUGUCAUGUAUCUUUAAUCCCAGCUCUUGAAAGUCAGAGGCAGGCUGAGUUUAAGAUCAAUCUGCACUACUUAGAUCCUGUCUCGAAACCAAAAAAAUAAAAAAUGUUUUUAAGUUUU
ensembl:lncRNA